rnacentral:misc_RNA from 1 species
UUGAUUCAUUUGUUUAUGAUUCCACUCAGACAUGCUAUAAAAAAGAUACAAGAGUUUGGGUCCCCCGGCGGGCGCCUGGUUCCGGCGGCUUUUUGGGCCUUCCGGGGCGUUAACCCGCCGAAGCAACAGUAAAGGUAUAAGUUCACAGGGGUUUGGGAGUAGAAAAACUCGGUAAUGAUCCCUCCGCUGGUUCACCAACGGAGA